CCUACGGGAGGCAGCAGUGAGGAAUAUUGGUCAAUGGACGCAAGUCUGAACCAGCCAUGCCGCGUGCAGGAAGACGGCUCUAUGAGUUGUAAACUGCUUUUGUACGAGGGUAAACGCAGAUACGCGUAUCUGUCUGCACGUAUCGUACGAAUAAGGAUCGGCUAACUCCGUGCCAGCAGCCGCGGUAAUACGGAGGAUUCAAGCGUUAUCCGGAUUUAUUGGGUUUAAAGGGUGCGUAGGCGGACUGUUAAGUCAGCGGUAAAAGCCCGGGGCUCAACCCCGGCGAGCCGUUGAAACUGGCGGUCUUGAGAUGGCGAGAGGUAUGCGGAAUGCGCAGUGUAGCGGUGAAAUGCUUAGAUAUUGCGCAGAACUCCGAUUGCGAAGGCAGCAUACCGGCGGCGAUCUGACGCUGAGGCACGAAAGCGUGGGUAUCGAACAGGAUUAGAUACCCCAGUAGUC
rnacentral:rRNA from 1 species